UGCCAGCAGCCGCGGUAAUACGAAGGGGGCAAGCGUUGUUCGGAAUUACUGGGCGUAAAGGGCGCGUAGGCGGACUUGCCAGUCAGGGGUGAAAUCCCGGGGCUCAACCUCGGAACUGCAUUUGAAACUGGAAGUCUGGAGUUCAGGAGAGGUUAGCGGAAUACCGAGUGUAGAGGUGAAAUUCGUAGAUAUUCGGUGGAACACCAGUGGCGAAGGCGGCUAACUGGACUGAUACUGACGCUGAGGUGCGAAAGUGUGGGGAGCAAACAGGAUUAGAUA
rnacentral:rRNA from 1 species